AGUGAACGCUGGCGGUAGGCCUAACACAUGCAAGUCGAACGGCAGCACAGUAAGAGCUUGCUCUUACGGGUGGCGAGUGGCGGACGGGUGAGGAAUACAUCGGAAUCUACUUUUUCGUGGGGGAUAACGUAGGGAAACUUACGCUAAUACCGCAUACGACCUACGGGUGAAAGCAGGGGAUCUUCGGACCUUGCGCGAUUGAAUGAGCCGAUGUCGGAUUAGCUAGUUGGCGGGGUAAAGGCCCACCAAGGCGACGAUCCGUAGCUGGUCUGAGAGGAUGAUCAGCCACACUGGAACUGAGACACGGUCCAGACUCCUACGGGAGGCAGCAGUGGGGAAUAUUGGACAAUGGGCGCAAGCCUGAUCCAGCCAUACCGCGUGGGUGAAGAAGGCCUUCGGGUUGUAAAGCCCUUCUGUUGGGAAAGAAAAGCAGCAGGUUAAUACCCCGCUGUUCUGACGGUACCAAAAGAAUAAGCACCGGCUAACUUCGUG
rnacentral:rRNA from 1 species